rnacentral:rRNA from 1 species
GAUGAACGCUGGCGGCGUGCUUAACACAUGCAAGUCGAACGAUGAAGCCCAGCUUGCUGGGUGGAUUAGUGGCGAACGGGUGAGUAACACGUGAGUAACCUGCCCUUAACUCUGGGAUAAGCCUGGGAAACUGGGUCUAAUACCGGAUAGGAGCGUCCACCGCAUGGUGGGUGUUGGAAAGAUUUAUCGGUUUUGGAUGGACUCGCGGCCUAUCAGCUUGUUGGUGAGGUAAUGGCUCACCAAGGCGACGACGGGUAGCCGGCCUGAGAGGGUGACCGGCCACACUGGGACUGAGACACGGCCCAGACUCCUACGGGAGGCAGCAGUGGGGAAUAUUGCACAAUGGGCGCAAGCCUGAUGCAGCGACGCCGCGUGAGGGAUGACGGCCUUCGGGUUGUAAACCUCUUUCAGUAGGGAAGAAGCGAAAGUGACGGUACCUGCAGAAGAAGCACCGGCUAACUACGUGCCAGCAGCCGCGGUAAUACGUAGGGUGCGAGCGUUAUCCGGAAUUAUUGGGCGUAAAGAGCUCGUAGCGGUUUGUCGCGUCUGUCGUGAAAGUCCGGGGCUUAACCCCGGAUCUGCGGUGGGUACGGGCAGACUAGAGUGCAGUAGGGGAGACUGGAAUUCCUGGUGUAGCGGUGGAAUGCGCAGAUAUCAGGAGGAACACCGAUGGCGAAGGCAGGUCUCUGGGCUGUAACUGACGCUGAGGAGCGAAAGCAUGGGGAGCGAACAGGAUUAGAUACCCUGGUAGUCCAUGCCGUAAACGUUGGGCACUAGGUGUGGGGACCAUUCCACGGUUUCCGCGCCGCAGCUAACGCAUUAAGUGCCCCGCCUGGGGAGUACGGCCGCAAGGCUAAAACUCAAAGGAAUUGACGGGGGCCCGCACAAGCGGCGGAGCAUGCGGAUUAAUUCGAUGCAACGCGAAGAACCUUACCAAGGCUUGACAUGUUCUCGAUCGCCGUAGAGAUACGGUUUCCCCUUUGGGGCGGGUUCGCAGGUGGUGCAUGGUUGUCGUCAGCUCGUGUCGUGAGAUGUUGGGUUAAGUCCCGCAACGAGCGCAACCCUCGUUCCAUGUUGCCAGCACGUAAUGGUGGGGACUCAUGGGAGACUGCCGGGGUCAACUCGGAGGAAGGUGAGGACGACGUCAAAUCAUCAUGCCCCUUAUGUCUUGGGCUUCACGCAUGCUACAAUGGCCGGUACAAUGGGUUGCGAUACUGUGAGGUGGAGCUAAUCCCAAAAAGCCGGUCUCAGUUCGGAUUGGGGUCUGCAACUCGACCCCAUGAAGUCGGAGUCGCUAGUAAUCGCAGAUCAGCAACGCUGCGGUGAAUACGUUCCCGGGCCU